UCCUAACCGUGCAAAGGUAGCGCAAUCAAUUGUCCCAUAAAUCGAGACUAGUAUGAAUGGCUAAACGAGGUCUUAACUGUCUCUUGCAGGCAAUCGGUGAAAUUGAUCUCCCUGUGCAAAAGCAGGGAUAAACCCAUAAGACGAGAAGACCCUGUGGAACUUCAAAAUCAGCAGCCACCCCAAAUUACAUAAACACCCACUGGGCCCACUUACACAUAAGCCACUGGCCUGCAUUUUUCGGUUGGGGCGACCUUGGAGAAAAACAAAUCCUCCAAAAACUAGACCACACCUCUAGACUAAGAGCAACCCCUCAACGUGCUAAUAGCAACCAGACCCAAUAUAAUUGAUCAAUGGACCAAGCUACCCCAGGGAUAACAGCGCAAUCUCCUUUAAGAGUCCAUAUCGACAAGGAGGUUUACGACCUCGAUGUUGGAUCAGGACAUCCUAGUGGUGCAGCCGCUACUAA
rnacentral:rRNA from 1 species